UACGUAGGGGGCGAGCGUUAUCCGGAAUUACUGGGUGUAAAGGGAGCGUAGACGGCGAAGUAAGCCUGAAGUGGAAGCCCGCGGCCCAACCGCGGAACUGCUUUGGGAACUGCUUAGCUGGAGUAUGGGAGGGGUAAGCGGAAUUCCCGGUGUAGCGGUGAAAUGCGUAGAUAUCAGGAGGAACACCGGUGGCGAAGGCGGCUUACUGGACCAUGACUGACGUUGAGGCUCGAAAGCGUGGGGAGCGAACAGG
rnacentral:rRNA from 1 species